rnacentral:rRNA from 1 species
UACGAAGGGGGCUAGCGUUGCUCGGAAUCACUGGGCGUAAAGGGUGCGUAGGCGGGUCUUUAAGUCAGGGGUGAAAUCCUGGAGCUCAACUCCAGAACUGCCUUUGAUACUGAAGAUCUUGUGUCCGGGAGAGGUGAGUGGAACUGCGAGUGUAGAGGUGAAAUUCGUAGAUAUUCGCAAGAACACCAGUGGCGAAGGCGGCUCACUGGCCCGGUACUGACGCUGAGGCACGAAAGCGUGGGGAGCAAACAGG